AUACGGAGGAUCCGAGCGUUAUCUGGAUUUAUUGGGUUUAAAGGGUGCGCAGGCGGCCAUUUAAGUCAGCGGUUAAAUCGUGGGGCUCAACCCCAUUCUGCCGUUGAUACUGGGUGGCUUGAUUGCGGUCGAGGUUGGCGGAAUUCGUUGUGUAGCGGUGAAAUGCAUAGAUAUGACGAAGAACACCGAUUGCGUAGGCAGCUGACCAGACCGCAAAUGACGCUCAUGCACGAAAGUGCGGGGAUCGAACAGGAUUAGAUACCCUGGUAGUCCGCACAGUAAACGAUGAAUACUUGUUUUCGGCGAUAUAAUGUCGGAGGCAAAGCGAAAGCGAUAAGUAUUCCACCUGGGGAGUACGCCGGCAACGGUGAAACUCAAAUGAAUUGGCGGGG
rnacentral:rRNA from 1 species